CAAAAACAUUGCUCUAAGAAUUUAAAUUUAGAGUAAGGCCUGCCCAGUGGGGUUAUCCUAAACGGCCGCAGAAUUUUAACUGUGCUAAGGUAGCAUAAUCAUUUGUCUUUUAAUUAAAGACUUGUAUGAACGGCUAAACGAAAUUAAACUGUUUCAAAUAUACUUAAUAUAAAUUAAUUUUAAAGUUAAAAAGCUUUAAUUCACUAAAAAGACAAAAAGACCCUAUAGAGUUUAAUUUUCAUAUUGUAAACUUAUAAUUAUAAAAUUUGGUUGGGGCAACCAAGAAACUACUAUUUUUCUACACUUAAAACUUAUAAAAUAUCAUUUUUUUUAAUAACUCAAAAUAAAUUACCUUAGGGAUAACAGCAUAAAUUUCUUUGAGAGUCCAAAUCGAAAAGAAAAAUUAUGACCUCGAUGUUGGAUUAGAAAACCUUAAAAUAGAAAAAAAUUUUAUAAAGGCAGUCNUCGUUCGACUAUUAAUAUUCUACAUGAUCUGAGUUCAAAUCGG
rnacentral:rRNA from 1 species